GGGUCACGCCUGUCAUCACCACUGACCUAUGACCUUUACCAGACUCGGAACAACGCAGCGACACUUUCUACACAUUUCUCCUGUUUAAAGUUUCACGCAGACAGAGGAGGAUAAAGUAACAGGAAACUACGCAUCUCUUUGUACUGCUGCAUGACGGCUGAGUGAUUUUUAUCAAAUCCGAAGCAGGGCUUGUGAUGAAUCUGUGAAAUGUAAUAACAGAACAAAUCUGAUUUUGUGAACGAGUCUCCAUGGCGAUGUUUAAAUCAUUUCAUCGGUGUGUUUUGUUUUUAUAAUGUUUGUUAAAGAAAAUUACAAAA